UUUUCUAUAAAGAAUUAAAAUAUAUACUGCAUAUGGUACUUAACUAAAUGUAUAUAUAUAUAUAUCUAUAAACAAGUCUAAAUUGAAAACAACGUUCAAACCUAUGAUUGCGUUGGAUAAAAACCGCAAUUUUUAUACGUGUGCAUGUAAAACAAAUUUCUUGUUAGAGGGGUCUAAAUACAGCACAAACAACAUUUUCCAAAAGACCAAAAAGUGAAAAAGUAUGAUUUUAACAAAACGCAUGUGACUAACAGGUCGAACAACUGAUGUUCUUAAACCCUGCUGUCUGCCAUUGGCGAUUGCCGAAUAAAUUGAUCACCAGAUGUAAAAAUGGAUCUUACAUAUUAGUUUAAUAUCAAACAGAAAACAAUAAAGUUGCGGUAAAGAUGGUAUAACGCAAACAUGAGGUGCAAAAAUUUGUACACCAUAUCCGGAUUUCGACAAUUAAUGUCUCUCCAGUGAUGUUAGGGAUCGAAACGGUAUUUGGAAGGCCAUAUAAUUUACCUCAAUUUAGGAUAGACUCUUGAAUUUUAAAUAUUAUAAUAUUAUAUCUAUAUAUAUUGGUUUUUUUCAGAGAUAAAGAAGUGUCUAUAGCUGUGAUUAGAAACAGACAUACACAUGAGAUAUUAGCAGGUUACAAUCUGUAAUGAAUUACAAACUUAAAACAGCUUAGAUCCAUGAGGAAAGUCAAUUAUAACUUUAUGUCAAGAACAACUAGAGAUGCAACCUAUUUCGGUGUGUAUAUCGGAAACGGACGGACGCCAAAGGGAGAUGAUAUAUAUAAUACAGCUUUUGACAAGUAAUUAAAUUUGCGAUACAUGUAUCUUGACAUUCUUUUUGUACUCAUUGUGAUUAUUAUUACGCCUUGGACGUUAUUUAUCUGUUAUGAGUUAGCCUUAUUAUCUUGUUUCUUUUAUUUAUUUAAAAUCAAAGAAAUAUUUUAAUUUAAAAAGUCAGAAUGUUAAACCGAAUAUAGUUGCAUUUAGUAUACAAGAAACAGACCAAACCAUGAAAACUUUAAAUUUACAAAUGAACCAUGAAAAUGAGGUCAAGGUCAGAUGAACCCUGCCAGUGUGUACACUUUACAAUCAUUCCAUGCAUCAAAUAUAGUUGACCUAUUGCUAAUAGUUAAAGAAAAACAGCCCAAAACACAAAAACUUAACAUGGCGCAAUGAACCGUGAAAAUGAGGUCAAGGUCAAAUAAAACCUGCAAGACUGACAGGUACAUCAUAAAAUAUUUCCAUACACCAAAUAUAGAUGACCUAUUGCAUAAAGUAUUAGAAAAAAAGACCAAAACUCAAAAACUUAACUUUGACCACUGAACCAUGAAAAUGAGGUCAAGGUCAGAAGACACUUGCCCGCUAGACAUGUACACCUUACAAUCAUUCCAUACACCAAAUAUAGUAGACCUAUGGCAUACAGUAUAAGAAAAACAGACCAAAACACAAAAACUUAACUAUAACCACUGAACCAUGAAAAUGAGGUCAAGGUCAGAUGACACCUGCCAGUUGGACAUGUACACCUUACAGUCCUUCCAUACACCGAAUAUACUAGACCUAUUGCUUAUAGUAUCUGAGAUACUGACUUGACCACCAAAACUUAACCUUGUUCAUUGAUCCAUGAAGUGAGGUCGAGGUCAAGUGAAAACUGUGUGACAGGCAUGAGGACCUUGCAAGGUACACACAUACCAAAUAUAGUUGAACUAUUGCAUAUAGUAUUAGAAAAAAAGACCAAAACUCAAAAACUUAACUUUGACCACUGAACCAUGAAAAUGAGGUCAAGGUCAGAUGACACCUGCCCGCUAGACAUGUACACCUUACAAUCAUUCCAUACACCAAAUAUAGUAGACCUAUGGCAUACAGUAAAAGAAAAACAGACCAAAACACAAAAACUUAACUAUAACCACUGAACCAUGAAAAUGAGGUCAAGGUCAGAUGACACCUGCCAGUUGGACAUGUACACCUUACAGUCCUUCCAUACACCGAAUAUACUAGACCUAUUGCUUAUAGUAUCUGAGAUAUGGACUUGACCACCAAAACUUAACCUUGUUCACUGAUCCAUGAAAUGAGGUCGAGGUCAAGUGAAAAAUGUCUGAUUGGCAUGAGGACCUUGCAAGGUACGCACAUACCAAAUAUAGUUAUCCUAUUACUUAUAAUAAGAGAGAAUCUAACAUUACAAAAAAUCUUAACUUUUUUUUCAAGUAGUCACUGAACCAUGAAAAUGAGGUCAAGGACAUUGGACAUGUGACUGACGGAAACUUCGUAACAUGAGGCAUCCAUAUACAAAGUAUGAAGCAUCCAGACCUUCCACCUUCUAAAAUAUAAAGCUUUUAAGAAGUUAGCCAACGCCGCCGCCGCCGCCGGAUCACUAUCCCUAUGUCGAGCUUUCUGCGACAAAAGUCGCAGGCUCGACAAAAA